AUGACAGAAUCCUCGAUAGUAUUAGUAUUAAUGAAUUAACUGUCAGGAUGUGUUGUCGUUCUUGAAGUAAGUCUUGUGAAAGAAACCACCGAGUUAAAAAUAGAGAUCUUGAUGGUUUUAUAUAUAAAAGUUUAAUGCUUGCCUAUUUAUACAUUUCCCAAGGACUGCUGAGGUAGAUGCGUUGUUCAGUUGACUAGGAUUUGUUUGAAUUCAAAGAUUAUCUAUUCAAGUCUUCUUUAUACGUUUGCAUGUGUUUGAUAAGAAUUCCAUUGAUUCAGAAAAAAAGUGCCAACAGUUUUUCCAACUUGACUGACACUACAACCUUCCAAUCAUAGCCAUACUACUAUGGUAUAAAAAUAAAAGUUUACAAUUUUACUACUGUUAUAUAUAUUUCGAUGGUAGUGAAGCUUUAAAAAAAAGAAGGAAUAGCAUACCGUCAAGUCGUUAGUUGAUGGGUAGGGUUGUUAGCCUAAUUAUGAGUUUUAUUUGUAAAAUAGGUUUAGGUUUUAGUUUUAGUUUUAAAUUAUUAGUCCAAUCAUGAGUUGAGCUGCUAGUUUAGGCGUGCGUUGACCUUUUAGCUUAGGUGUAUUGUCACGGUUUGGUUUUCAUAUCUCUGCGCCGCCUAUAUUAGCAAACAGUUGACAUAGAAUUCACAACAAUAACAAAUUAAAAAUGCAUCAUCCUGUAAUUAAAAGAAGGUAUAUUGAUGCAUCCUUUGCGUGAAUCAGACACGUAGAAUCAUGUUUCUCUCAUGACAAAGAGCACUUAUAGUAGCAUAUCUAGAAUUUCUCUCAGUUUUAACUUUCUUCGGUCUCGGUUUUUCCCUUGACAAAGCUGAUAAUAUAUCAUGUACAAUCAGGCAACACAUUUAUUUAGUCAACGUUCAAGUCCAAAAGCAACUUUAUGUCGUACUAAGAUACGGUUUUGCGAAGCGACAUAGAUCUCAUAACGCCUCAAUGUUUUAUUAGUAAUUCUUCGUGAUCACACUAUCUGUGUAAAAUGGAUGAAGAGAAACGAGCUUUAAGCAGGAAUAACGUG